UACGUAGGGUGCAAGCGUUAAUCGGAAUUACUGGGCGUAAAGCGUGCGCAGGCGGUUUUGUAAGUCAGAUGUGAAAUCCCCGGGCUUAACCUGGGAACUGCGUUUGAAACUACAAGGCUAGAGUGUGGCAGAGGGGGGUGGAAUUCCACGUGUAGCAGUGAAAUGCGUAGAGAUGUGGAGGAACACCGAUGGCGAAGGCA
rnacentral:rRNA from 1 species